rnacentral:misc_RNA from 1 species
GAUGAAGAACGUAGCGAAACGCGAUAGUUAAUGUGAAUUGCAGAAUUCAGUGAAUCAUCGAGUCUUUGAACGCACAUUGCGCACCUCGGCAUUCCGGAGGGCAUGUCUGUUUGAGCGUCAUUUCAACACCCUCGCUUUAAGCGGUAUUGAGGCGUGGAAUCCAUAUCAAUGGAACCAAGCUUUUAAAGUUGAAGGCAAGCAGAACGAAUGUCUUGAACAAAACAUAGUAAAAUCUUCACGGUUUCUCCUGUUUGUCCUCGAUGUUACGUCUCGCCCAAACAAUUUUUUUUUUAGUUUUGACCUCAGAUCAGACAAGGAUACCCGCUGAACUUAAGCAUAUCAAUAAGCGGAGGA